AUUCGAAGCAACGCGAAGAACCUUACCAGGUCUUGACAUCCUCUGAAAACCCUAGAGAUAGGGCUUCUCCUUCGGGAGCAGAGUGACAGGUGGUGCAUGGUUGUCGUCAGCUCGUGUCGUGAGAUGUUGGGUUAAGUCCCGCAACGAGCGCAACCCUUGAUCUUAGUUGCCAUCAUUAAGUUGGGCACUCUAAGGUGACUGCCGGUGACAAACCGGAGGAAGGUGGGGAUGACGUCAAAUCAUCAUGCCCCUUAUGACCUGGGCUACACACGUGCUACAAUGGACGGUACAAAGAGCUGCAAGACCGCGAGGUGGAGCUAAUCUCAUAAAACCGUUCUCAGUUCGGAUUGUAUGAGUAGCUU
rnacentral:rRNA from 1 species